AGAUAACGCUGUGCUUUAUGACUGCAGUUGUCAAUUCAACCACAGAGCAUUCAGAGCAGAGAAAGUCUCUGGGGGUUACAUGCAAGGGACUUGAGGUUGGGAAAAAGGCUUUGAAAAAAUGAAGGAGAAAGAUGAAAUGUAUUCCAGCAGGAAACUGGGGAGGGAAUCAUGUUCCAGCAGUGAAGAACAAAGGCAGUUUUUUGGGGAUUUACAUAUGCCAUCUCCUACAAAGUUAAAAAAUUUUCUUUUCCUGAAAGACUACAAUCAAGAUACAAACAUGUACAAUGGGUGAAGUGGAUUAACAAGUUUGUGUCAUGUUAAUU
rnacentral:lncRNA from 1 species